GUUUCUAUAUCUGCCCAGGUCCCCAAAACAUCUUUUGGGGAGAGAUCAAUUACAAGUAACUAUUAAAUUUAAAAAUGGGGAGGUUAUUCUGGAGGUAAAUGAUGAACAGUACAUAGAGGCAUUACGUCUAAUGUUAACAGCCGUUCAAAUAGAGGGAGAAAUUAGUGAAGAAAUAAUGAAUCAAGUGUUCCCUGGAGUGUGGGCUUCUAAUGUACCAGGGAAGGCAAAAAAUGCACCUCCUAUAGUAAUUAAAUUAAAGGAAGGAAAAUAACCAGUUAGAAUUAAACAGUACCCCUUGAAAAGGGAGGACAGGGAAGGAAUUAGCCCGAUAGUUGAAAACUUUUUACAAUUAGGGUUGUUAAAAGAAUGUCAAUCUGAGUUUAAUACUCCCAUCUUACCAGUCCGAAAACCUGAUGGGUCAUAUAGGAUAGUACAGGAUCUAAGGGCUGUUAACAAAAUAACUGAAGAUCUGUAUCCUGUGGUAGCAAAUCCAUACACUUUGCUAACAUGCCUAACAUCAGAGCUAACUUGGUUUACUGUUCUAGACUUGAAAGAUGCCUUCUUUUGCCUCCCUCUCCAUGAGGACAGCCAGGAAAUCUUUGCAUUUGAAUGGGAAAACCCUAAAAGUGGAUGCAAAUCCCAGCUCACAUGGAUGGUGUUGCCUCAGGGAUUUAAAAACUCUCUUACCCUGUUUGGGGAACAACUUGCCAAAGACCUGGAAUCCUGGGAGGCUCCCCCAGAAGAAGGAAAGCUACUGCAGUACGUGGAUGAUAUCCUCAUAGCCACCCAGAUGAAAGAGGCAUGUGCAGCCUGGACGUGGAAAUCCAGGGGAUCCAGUACACCACGACUGCCUGGAGACCAUCAAAGCCACCUAUUCUAGCCGCCCAGAUCUGAAGGACACCCCUUUGGAUGACACAGAAACCUGGUUCACUGAUGGAAGCAGCUACAUCGUCAGUGGAAAGCGACAUGCUCUGUAUGCAGUUACCACCUGCAAACAGUCUCUUACAGAAAAAACUUUGGAGCCACAGUGGGAAGGACCAUUCCAGGUGCUCCUCACCACCUUCACUGCAGUUAAGAUUAAGGAACAGAGUGCCUGGAUUCACCACUCUCGAGUGAAAAAGGCUCCAGAAGCCCCUUGGAAAGUAACAUGGGGUGACAAUGAACUGAAAUUAAAAUUUACUCGAGCAAAAUGAAUACAUUGCGAUCGGGAGUAUUCAGUAAUUUAGCUUGCAGAUAUUUCAUCAAUAGAAUUGUUUUACAGUAAA